AUAUCUUUCUCAGCCUUUUGGCUAUUUGGGGUGUGUUUAGUUCGCGAAAGAAAUUAUUAAACGUGGGAACUAAACAAGAUUAACUGUUCGGCCAUAUGCUCACUUCGAUAUUAAAUUUAUUAUUUGUGGGGGAGGGCUCAUCACAGUGGCAAGCCCAUGCCACUGGGGCCCUCGCGCGUCGCCCAGGCGUUGCACUGCUGCCCGGGCCUGGCGCACCCAAC
rnacentral:snRNA from 1 species